rnacentral:rRNA from 1 species
AAGGCAAUGUCUAGUAUAAGCAUUAUACCGUGAAACUGCGAAUGGCUCAUUAAAUCAGUUAUCGUUUAUUUGAUAGUACCUUACUACUUGGAUAACCGUGGUAAUUCUAGAGCUAAUACAUGCUGAAAACCCCAACUUCGGAAGGGGUGUAUUUAUUAGAUAAAAAACCAACGCCCUUCGGGGCUUCUUGGUGAUUCAUGAUAACUUCACGGAUCGCAUGGCCUUGCGCCGGCGACGGUUCAUUCAAAUUUCUGCCCUAUCAACUUUCGAUGGUAAGGUAUUGGCUUACCAUGGUUUCAACGGGUAACGGGGAAUUAGGGUUCGAUUCCGGAGAGGGAGCCUGAGAAACGGCUACCACAUCCAAGGAAGGCAGCAGGCGCGCAAAUUACCCAAUCCCGACACGGGGAGGUAGUGACAAUAAAUACUGAUACAGGGCUCUUUUGGGUCUUGUAAUUGGAAUGAGUACAAUUUAAACCUCUUAACGAGGAACAAUUGGAGGGCAAGUCUGGUGCCAGCAGCCGCGGUAAUUCCAGCUCCAAUAGCGUAUAUUAAAGUUGUUGCAGUUAAAAAGCUCGUAGUUGAAACUUGGGCCUGGCUGGCAGGUCCGCCUCACCGCGUGUACUUGUCCGGCCGGGCCUUUCCUUCUGGAGAACCUCAUGCCCUUCACUGGGUGUGCUGGGGAACCAGGACUUUUACUUUGAAAAAAUUAGAGUGUUCAAAGCAGGCCUUUGCUCGAAUACGUUAGCAUGGAAUAAUAGAAUAGGACGUGCGGUCCUAUUUUGUUGGUUUCUAGGACCGCCGUAAUGAUUAAUAGGGACAGUCGGGGGCAUCAGUAUUCAAUUGUCAGAGGUGAAAUUCUUGGAUUUAUUGAAGACUAACUACUGCGAAAGCAUUUGCCAAGGAUGUUUUCAUUAAUCAGUGAACGAAAGUUAGGGGAUCGAAGACGAUCAGAUACCGUCGUAGUCUUAACCGUAAACUAUGCCGACUAGGGAUCGGGCGAUGUUCUUUUUCUGACUCGCUCGGCACCUUACGAGAAAUCAAAGUUUUUGGAUCUGGGGGAGUAUUCCAGGCC